rnacentral:lncRNA from 1 species
UCCCAGAGUCUGAUGGCCAGGGAACCUGGAGUUCUGAUGUCUGAGGGCAGAAGAUGGAUAUUCCAGCUCCAAAAGAGAGAGUAAAUUUUCCCUUUCUCCACCUUUUUCUUCUAGGUUGGCCCUCAAUGGAUUGGAUGACGCCUGCCCACACUGAAGCAGUUCAGGUCAUAGUCAAUGGACACAAAGAAGAUGCAUCUUCAAACCAGGAUAUGAUUGGGAAGACUAAAGACUUGCAAUUCUCCAGACAAACUAGCAGUAAAUGCUUUUUGAGCUCCCGGCGUGCAGAUAAAUUCCUACGGACAUCCCCAAUUGGACUGAAAGAUUGAGACACACAAGGGAGAGAAUAGCUGAGGCCAGGAGAAUUUAACAUGGCAAUUAGCAACCCUUCAACUUUGCCAGACCCCACAGCACAAGACAGGAUGGAGGUAACCAAAAAUCUCUCCAGAAGAGUAGUUGAUAAAUUGAUUGGGUCCCAGGGGUUGCUGGACACAGUUAUUAUCCAAUUGCAGGCCUGGAUGGUGUGCAAGUCUAUGUAGUGAAGUCAGAAAAUGAAACAGGGCUUUAAAUUCCCAAGGGGAGCUCCUUUGCUUAUGUAUCCAUUGCUGCACCCUUUCCCCUCAUUUUGGAAGACUCUGAAUCACAUCACAUAGUGUGUAUUAUCUUCUCUAACUGAACAAACAAGUUCUAAAACAUAAAAUAUAUAAAACAACUGUAACCAUUAUCAUCAAUGAUUCUGUUCUUAAGAAGUUAGAAAAGUAAAAUAUAAAAUUAAAAUUGAAAAUAUUUAAAGACUUCCAGAAUUUUUUUUUUUUUUAAAGCAGAGGGAGGGUGUGUGGGGGAAGAGGAAUUUUAAUCCUCUUUCUGUAUCAAUUCUGAUGGCUGCUUUUAAGAAUUAUUUUAACCAUCA